ensembl:lncRNA
UGUGGAUUGAGAAUUAAUGAAAUUAACCUAAUCUUUUCCAUUCGGCAGCCCCCGCGCGGCCCCGGCCUUGCUGGGCGGGCGGCCUAAUUGCCCAGGUUAAUCUUAUUAAUACUAUUGUCCUGCCGCCGUUAACAACUCCGCCGCCGACCUCUCCGCCCCGACCCUUUUCUCUCUAUUAUGGGCGGUCACUCUGGGUCUGAAACCACCCUGACUUUCCCUAGCUAACACAUCAGUGAGGAGCAAAUUCAGCCACUGUUUAAAAUUCGCCACGGAGAGGAGCACUCUGAAGCGAUGCUUCCAGAGGCUUCCCGCGUGGGUGCCGCGAGCUCCCCAAAAGGCCUCUAGCUAUCUUUCCAGGCCCACUCUGGCCUCUGUGGGACCCCAGCGGCCUGGACCAGAGUCGGGCCACUGCGGGCGGCCCUGAUGAUUUGCGGGAUUCUCCGUGAGGCACGGUCGAACCGUGGGAGGCGCAGCCAACCUAGAUCUACGCGCAGGCGGCUGGGCGACCUCCGGGAAGGUAAACGAUUCUCUGCGCAGAACGAAAGCAGAGGCCAGAAGUCGCGCGUCCCUGGUGCCAGCCCCGGAAUUGCAGAGCAGUCCAUCGUCCCGGCCAUCGCUCCAGCUGCUUCAGGCGAGACCUGGGUAGAGGACUCCCUGGAGGUCCAAGGCAUUUGUGGAGAUUCGUCUCUCACUGAUAAGCUAAGAUAGCUUCAACGCCGUCUUAAAGUCGUACAAUAAAUGCUAAGUCCUCCCGGCACAGGAGGAGACACCCCUCUUGUUAUUGCUCUUCCUGGGUUAGAGAACCGUUGCGGUAAGUUUGGUGGUCCCUCCUGGACACAGAACUCCGGCCGUGUGGCAGUGCGUGGGAGCAGCCACCCGGAGCUUAGGAAAGCGCGCUUCUCCUAGGCCUCCAC